UNUGACUUGAGUGCAGAAGGGGAGAGUGGAAUUCCANGUGUAGCGGUGAAAUGCGUAGAUAUANGGAGGAACACCAGUGGCGAAAGCGGCUCUCUGGUCUGUCACUGACGCUGAGGCUCGAAAGCGUGGGUAGCGAACAGGAUUAGAUACCCUGGUAGUCCACGCCGUAAACGAUGAGUGCUAGGUGUUAGGCCCUUUCCGGGGCUUAGUGCCGGAGCUAACGCAAUAAGCACUCCGCCUGGGGAGUACGACCGCAAGGUUGAAACUCAAUGGAAUUGACGGGGGCCCGCACAAGCGGUGGAGCAUGUGGUUUAAUUCGAAGCAACGCGAAGAACCUUACCAGGUCUUGACAUCCCGAUGCUAUUCUUAGAGAUAGGAAGUUACUUCGGUACAUCGGAGACAGGUGGUGCAUGGUUGUCGUCAGCUCGUGUCGUGAGAUGUUGGGUUAAGUCCCGCAACGAGCGCAACCCUUAUUGUUAGUUGCCAUCAUUAAGUUGGGCACUCUAGCGAGACUGCCGGUAAUAAACCGGAGGAAGGUGGGGAUGACGUCAAAUCAUCAUGCCCCUUAUGACCUGGGCUACACACGUGCUACAAUGGUCGGUACAACGAGUUGCGAGCCGGUGACGGCAAGCUAAUCUCUGAAAGCCGAUCUCAGUUCGGAUUGGAGGCUGCAACUCGCCUCCAUGAAGUCGGAAUCGCUAGUAAUCGCGGAUCAGCACGCCGCGGUGAAUACGUUCCCGGGCCUUGUACACACCGCCCGUCACACCACGAGAGUUUGUAACACCCGAAGUCGGUGAGGUAACCUUUUAGGGGCCAGCCGCC
rnacentral:rRNA from 1 species